UACGGGGGGGAGCAAGCGUUGUUCGGAUUUACUGGGCGUAAAGGGCGCGUAGGCGGCCACUGCAAGUCAGUUGUGAAAUCUCCGGGCUUAACUCGGAAAGGUCAACUGAUACUGCAGGGCUAGAGUGCAGAAGGGGCAACUGGAAUUCUCGGUGUAGCGGUGAAAUGCGUAGAUAUCGAGAGGAACACCUGCGGCGAAGGCGGCUCUCUGGUACGUGACUGACGCUGAGACGCGAAAGCGUGGGGAGCAAACAGG
rnacentral:rRNA from 1 species